rnacentral:rRNA from 1 species
AAUGCAUAGAUAUAUGGAGGAACACCAAUUGCGAAGGCAGUUGUCUGGGUCAUUAUUGACGUUGAGGCUCGAAAGCAUGGGUAGCAAAUAGGAUUAGAUACCCUAGUAGUCCAUGCCGUAAACGAUGAAUACUAGUUAUUAGAUGUUAAGUCUAGUGAUUGAGCUAACGCAUUAAGUAUUCCACCUGAGUAGUACAUUCGCAAGAAUGAAACUUAAAGGAAUUGACGGGGACCCGCACAAGCGGUGGAGCAUGUGGUUUAAUUCGAAGAAACGCGAAAAGCCUUACCUGGAUUUGACAUCCCUUGCAAAGCUAUGGAAACAUAGUGGAGGUUAUCAAGGUGACAGGUGGUGCAUGGUUGUCGACAGUUCGUGUCGUGAGAUGUAUGGUUAAGUCCCAUAACGAGCGCAACCCUCAUCCUUAUUUGCUAACAUUUAGUUGAGAACUAUAAGGAAACUGCAGUCGUAAGAUUGAGGAAGGUGGGGAUGACGUCAAAUCAUCAUGCCCCUUAUAUUCAGGGCUACACACGUGCUACAAUGGUUGAGACAAAGGGAAGCUAACCCGUGAGGGGUGCAAAUCUCAUCAAACUCAAUCUCAGUUUGGAUCGAAGUCUGCAAUUCGACUUCGUGAAAUUGGAAUCGCUAGUAAUCGCAANUCAGCAAUGUUGCGGUGAAUACGUUCUCGGGUCUUGUACACACCGCCGUCAUCU